GGGGAGCAGUUUGAGGCCGCUUGCUUUCAAUGGGAGCAAUGCUCCUCUUGCUCUUUUAUCCUCACCCUGCAACCUGGGGAGGGCAGGGUUAGGAAUCCAACUUCACACCAGCUCCAGCCCAGCAGAGUUUAUCAGCUUCUGAGGCUCCAGAUUGAGACACACGUUCAGGGCCAAAGCUGAGGGGCUUUUUUCCCUCUGCAGCUCAGGUGGUGGCUUAUUUGUGUCCUUUUCUAGAGCUCAGGACUCCUCAAAUGCUACUUGCAGCUGGAGAGGUGGGAGACACAACUAAGGGAUGUUGAUUCCCAUAACUGGCCAAGAUGUGCCCCAUUGCUUUAACACAGAAAAAGUGCAUCUGUCCUGUCUAAUCUCAGCAGCAGGGUACAGGAUUUCGUUAAAACCCUGAUCAGUCUUUCAGAUGUUGUGCUUAGGAAAAACCAGGCAUAGCAUUCAUAGUUCUGGUCUUUUCCCCCUGCUCCUCUGCCCACAAGCCUGGCAGAGAAAAGGAGCAGGGUGUGAUCGUGCCUGUGUUCUGCCAUUCAAGGCCUCUCCACAUGCCCAUAUCAUCCCAGGUCUUGUUGCCAUGAAGUCAUAAUUGUGAGACCAGAUUUCAGCCUUAAGUGAAUUAGAUUAGAAGCCAUUUUAAAGCAAGACCAGGAGUCCUGUGAUAAGACAGACUUUUUGAAUGCAUCCUUCCCCAACCUCAGCUAUGAUGGGGCUAGGAAUGAUUUUUAACGUAGACAAGCCAGACAUGGGGUGAUCAUUGAGCGUGUGAGGUGGGCUGAUGGAGAAUGUCUUCCUCUCUGUCUUUUGCUUAGAGAUUGAAAGGCUGUCGAUGUUCUACUUAAUAAUUUCCAACAACUGCCAGAGCAAUCUUAGUCUGUUGCCUUUAGUAGUGAGUGGAGCGCUCGUUGUAACACAGACGUGUGGAUCUGUUAUUCUUUAGACACAUCUUUGAUGCUAGCACUCUGAUCCUCGUGUUUCUCUAAUACCACUUGAAAGCAGAUUUUUUUCCUUGUAGUUUAGUAUGUUCAACAGCCUCAGAAAUAAUGUUAAGUUAUGCUUUAAAAAGACACAAUCAGCUGCUAAAUCGUAGUCAGCUCAGCACCGUAACACAGCCACAUUCACAAGUGCUGCAAGAACAGCGAUGGAAACACUAUUUUAAAAUCCAGUCCUACAGCCCAAGUUUCCUGGACUAGUCCACCUUCCUUCCUGCCUCACCAAAUGACUCAUGGAAAGCUGUUGAUCUUCAGUCUGUGGAGACAAUCUAACAUCAGCAACUUGCUGGGGGUGCAGCUACAAGGUGAGCCUCGGACUCUGCCUAUGGUCUGUGCUCCCAGAUGACAGCCCCACGAUGGCAGAUGGAGGGACAUCCCAGGCACUGCACGGGGCCUUUGCUGCUCCCAGAGCUGCCACAUGCCAUGGGACCCCAGCUGCUGGAUGCCUGACCCAGCUCGACUGCUGCUGGAGAUGUGCUGGGGCUGGCUCAGCCCUGCUUGCUGCUGCCUGUCUGCCUUAUUCUUCUGAGU